rnacentral:rRNA from 1 species
UACGUAGGGUCCGAGCGUUGUCCGGAAUUACUGGGCGUAAAGCGCGCGCAGGCGGCCCGCGAGGUGUCACGUGAAAGCCCCGGGCUCAACCCGGGAGGGUCGUGGCAAACCGGCGGGCUUGAGGCCGGUAGAGGUGGGUGGAACUCCUGGUGGAGUGGUGAAAUGCGUAGAGAUCAGGAAGAACACCCGUGGCGAAGGCGGCCCACUGGGCCGGUACUGACGCUGAGGCGCGAAAGCGUGGGUAGCAAACAGG